UCGCCCGAGAGGUGCGAAAGUUGAGGAAUCGAGAAAUCCCCUAUGUGAAGGUUAGGUGGAGCAAUCAUGACGAUCGCGAAGCCACCUGGGAACUCGAGGAUCUGAUGAGAAAACACCAUCCUCACCUAUUUGAGGAGUAAGGUACGGAUUUGAAUUAAAAUAAAGAAUUGGUUCGUUUCGAGGACGAAACUCCUUUUAAGGAGGGGAGGAUGUAAGGAAGUGAAUUCUCGAAAUACGA
rnacentral:lncRNA from 1 species